AACGAACGCUGGCGGCAGGCCUAACACAUGCAAGUCGAACGGAUGUAGCAAUACAUUAGUGGCGCACGGGUGCGUAACACGUGGGAAUAUACCCCAGGGUAAGGAAUAAUGUCUGGAAACGGACACUAAUACCUUAUAAUGACUUUGGUCCAAAGAUUUAUCGCCCUGGGAUCAGCCCGCGCCUGAUUAGCUAGUUGGUGAGGUAAUGGCUCACCAAGGCUACGAUCAGUAGCUGGUCUGAGAGGAUGAUCAGCCGCACUGGAACUGAGACACGGUCCAGACUCCUACGGGAGGCAGCAGUGAGGAAUAUUGCACAAUGGAGGAAACUCUGAUGCAGCCAUGCCGCGUGAGUGAAGAAGGCCUUCGGGUUGUAAAGCUCUUUUAGUCGUGAAGAUAAUGACGGUAGCGACAGAAAAAGCCCCGGCUAAAUUCGUGCCAGCAGCCGCAGUAA
rnacentral:rRNA from 1 species